UAGAGUUGAUCAUGGCUCAGGACGAACCCUUGCGGCGUGCCUAACACAUGCAAGUCGAGGGGUGAUUUCGGUCAUCACUGGCGCACGGGUGAGUAACGCGUAGAUCAUCUGCCCCUAUCACUGACAUAACAGUUCUAACGGACUGCUAAUAUCAGAUGAGGUGAGCAAUCAUCAAAGUUUCGACGGAUAGGGAUGAGUCUGCGUCUGAUUAGGUAGUUGGUGAGGUAACGGCUCACCAAGCCGACGAUCAGUAACUGGUCUGAGAGGACGAACAGUCACACUGGAACUGAGACACGGUCCAGACUCCUACGGGAGGCAGCAGUGAGGAAUAUUGCACAAUGGGAGGAAUCCUGAUGCAGCGACGCCGCGUGCGGGAUGAAGGGGCUUAGCCUCGUAAACCGCUGUCGGAGGGGACGAAUGGUACAUUUGAUGUACUGAGACGGUACCCUCAAAGGAAGGAUCGGCUAACUACGUGCCAGCAGCCGCGGUAAUA
rnacentral:rRNA from 1 species